UGUUACUGCAAGGCCGGCCAUGCCUGUAAAGAACAAACAUAUAUGAUUGGCAACAGCAUAAAUUUACAAAUUAAAAUAGUUACUUUGUUUUAUUAUUUAUAUUGUAUCAACUUCAAUCAAUUUCUACCAUAAGCUAAGCCUCGUCAGACUAAAAUAGAAAUUGAAAACAUCAACAUACUCUCUCUGCAUAUAAAGUUCCCCGAGCAAAUAAGGGUGGG
rnacentral:misc_RNA from 1 species